rnacentral:rRNA from 1 species
GACGAACGCUGGCGGCGUGCCUAAUACAUGCAAGUAGAACGCUGAAGAGAGGAGCUUGCUCUUCUUGGAUGAGUUGCGAACGGGUGAGUAACGCGUAGGUAACCUGCCUGGUAGCGGGGGAUAACUAUUGGAAACGAUAGCUAAUACCGCAUAAGAGUAGAUGUUGCAUGACAUUUGCUUAAAAGGUGCAACUGCAUCACUACCAGAUGGACCUGCGUUGUAUUAGCUAGUUGGUGAGGUAACGGCUCACCAAGGCAACGAUACAUAGCCGACCUGAGAGGGUGAUCGGCCACACUGGGACUGAGACACGGCCCAGACUCCUACGGGAGGCAGCAGUAGGGAAUCUUCGGCAAUGGACGGAAGUCUGACCGAGCAACGCCGCGUGAGUGAAGAAGGUUUUCGGAUCGUAAAGCUCUGUUGUAAGAGAAGAACGAGUGUGAGAGUGGAAAGUCACACUGUGACGUAUCUACCAGAA